UCGUACGCUUCUUUUUCACCGGAGCUUGCUCCACCGGAAAAAGAAGAGUGGCGAACGGGUGAGUAACACGUGGGUAACCUGCCCAUCAGAAGGGGAUAACACUUGGAAACAGGUGCUAAUACCGUAUAACAAUCGAAACCGCAUGGUUUUGAUUUGAAAGGCGCUUUCGGGUGUCGCUGAUGGAUGGACCCGCGGUGCAUUAGCUAGUUGGUGAGGUAACGGCUCACCAAGGCCACGAUGCAUAGCCGACCUGAGAGGGUGAUCGGCCACAUUGGGACUGAGACACGGCCCAAACUCCUACGGGAGGCAGCAGUAGGGAAUCUUCGGCAAUGGACGAAAGUCUGACCGAGCAACGCCGCGUGAGUGAAGAAGGUUUUCGGAUCGUAAAACUCUGUUGUUAGAGAAGAACAAGGAUGAGAGUAACUGUUCAUCCCUUGACGGUAUCUAACCAGAAAGCCACGGCUAACUACGUGCCAGCAGCCGCGGUAAUACGUAGGUGGCAAGCGUUGUCCGGAUUUAUUGGGCGUAAAGCGAGCGCAGGCGGUUUCUUAAGUCUGAUGUGAAAGCCCCCGGCUCAACCGGGGAGGGUCAUUGGAAACUGGGAGACUUGAGUGCAGAAGAGGAGAGUGGAAUUCCAUGUGUAGCGGUGAAAUGCGUAGAUAUAUGGAGGAACACCAGUGGCGAAGGCGGCUCUCUGGUCUGUAACUGACGCUGAGGCUCGAAAGCGUGGGGAGCAAACAGGAUUAGAUACCCUGGUAGUCCACGCCGUAAACGAUGAGUGCUAAGUGUUGGAGGGUUUCCGCCCUUCAGUGCUGCAGCUAACGCAUUAAGCACUCCGCCUGGGGAGUACGACCGCAAGGUUGAAACUCAAAGGAAUUGACGGGGGCCCGCACAAGCGGUGGAGCAUGUGGUUUAAUUCGAAGCAACGCGAAGAACCUUACCAGGUCUUGACAUCCUUUGACCACUCUAGAGAUAGAGCUUCCCCUUCGGGGGCAAAGUGACAGGUGGUGCAUGGUUGUCGUCAGCUCGUGUCGUGAGAUGUUGGGUUAAGUCCCGCAACGAGCGCAACCCUUAUUGUUAGUUGCCAUCAUUCAGUUGGGCACUCUAGCAAGACUGCCGGUGACAAACCGGAGGAAGGUGGGGAUGACGUCAAAUCAUCAUGCCCCUUAUGACCUGGGCUACACACGUGCUACAAUGGGAAGUACAACGAGUCGCGAAGUCGCGAGGCUAAGCUAAUCUCUUAAAGCUUCUCUCAGUUCGGAUUGUAGGCUGCAACUCGCCUACAUGAAGCCGGAAUCGCUAGUAAUCGCGGAUCAGCACGCCGCGGUGAAUACGUUCCCGGGCCUUGUACACACCGCC
rnacentral:rRNA from 1 species